rnacentral:rRNA from 1 species
AUUGAACGCUGGCGGCAGGCCUAACACAUGCAAGUCGAGCGAGCGGCGGACGGGUGAGUAAUGUCUGGGAGACUGCCUGCUGGAGGGGGAUAACUACUGGAAACGGUAGCUAAUACCGCAUACCAUCAGAUGUGCCCCCAUGGGAGUAGCUAGUAGGUGGGGUAAUGGCUCACCUAGGCGACGCUCCCUAGCUGGUCUGAGAGGAUGACCAGCCACACUGGAACUGAGACACGGGCCAGACUCCUACGGGAGGCAGCAGUGGGGAAUAUUGCACAAUGGGCGAAAGCCUGAUGCAGCCAUGCCGCGUGUGUGAAGAAGGCCGUCGGGUUGUAAAGCACUUUCAGCGGGGAGGCGGUACCAACAGAAUAAGCACCGGCUAACUUCGUGCCAGCAGCCGCGGUAAUUC